CUGAGAUUGCAGUAAAUAAUAGAUACCUACAGGCCAGUCUGGGCAUUUGGUGCAAUGUUGCAGAAUGCAUCUUUGGUCCAUGAGGGAAGGAGGCCCCUUUAAUGAUAUAAGCCUAUGAGCUUCUUUUUUGCGUGAGAGAGUAAAGGACACUGGCUCAUUUGAGAUCCCUAGACAUGUUAAAAAAUAGUGGAAGAAAAAAGUACAAGAAAACACACUCACGGAACUGCUGAGGUGACGUAACCAGAGCAGAUACAGAGGUUGGGACCUUCCCCACAGGUACUUGUGCAUUUCCAGGAGCUCAGCAUCGUGCCAAACCUUGGGGACUGGGAGAACAACUGAAUGAUGAACUUAACACUGUUACUGGUUUGACUCCCACCUGAACUCUACCAGUGAAAUCUAUAUCAUCCUGACAAGAAAUCAGCUGCUGCCUGAAACCUCUGACUUUGAGGAUGAAGCUCUAUACAGGCACGAUGGGCUGGUCUGGGUCACAGUCAUCAGGGACAGAAAAAGGAUCUUCCUCCAACUAAUGGCAUCUUCUGUGCUCUCAGCCCUGAAGAUCAGGAAGGAAUUUAUUAGAUAUGUGGACAAGCAGCGUGAACAUUCUGCAGUUGGAAAAUCACAUGUACCUGCAACCCUCCAGAGGAGAAAGUGAUUCAAAGGCUCUUCUUCAACUCUGAUGGGAAGUGGAGAACCAGACUUCAGCAGCUGAGUAGAGUUGGACUCUGCAGCCCAUCACAUCAGCGAUGGAGUGCCAUGGCAGACGUUGAAAAACAUCACGAAUCCGAUCUGCAAAUCAGCAAGUGACUCAAGAUUUUUAUAAUUCUUAAAUGCCAUUUAGACAUCCCAAAGCCUGGGGAGAUUUCCUGUGCUUUAUACCUGAGCCAUCACCUUUCCUUCCCAAAGAGAAUUUCAGUGCCAAAGUGAUAAUGCUUCAGUACUCCACUGAUGCAGCAGAAAUGAGUGAAGUGAACUGUAAUUAUUAAAAGAGGAAAUAUCACAUGAGUUUAAAAGAUUAAAAAAAAACCACAACAACCCUCGCACUUUGUUGGAAGUGAUCUCGUCCAUCUUUUUCCCCACUUUCAUCACAAACAAAACACAUGUACUUGCAAUCUCCUUUCCCCAGUUCUUAAUGAGAGAAGCCUUCAGUGGGUAGUGAAAAAACUAAAAACUUUCAGUCUAGCUGCACAGGAGAGGGUAUUAACUUGUCAGAGUUAUUUUAUGGCAUCCCAGCAAGGGUACAAGGUUGAGGUAUUUUCUGAAAGAUAACUCUGUGUUUUUCCUUUAACUUCCUCUGACUUCUGAGAAUUCUGGCGUAAUUGUUCAUUUCAC
rnacentral:lncRNA from 1 species